rnacentral:misc_RNA from 1 species
GAAAUGCGAUAAGUAAUGUGAAUUGCAGAAUUCCGUGAAUCAUCGAAUCUUUGAACGCAGAUUGCGCCCUCUGGUAUUCCGGGGGGCAUGCCUGUCCGAGCGUCAUUACGCACCCUCAAGCCCGGCUUGUGUGAUGGGCCCCGGCGUCUCGUUCGCGAGACGGGCCCGAAAGGCAGCGGCGGCGUCGACCCGAUGAGCCCGAGCGUAUGGGGACUUCUGUCACACGUUCGCGGUGCGGACCGGCGCCUGCUUGACUUUUCUGAUUAUCCAGGUUGACCUCGGAUCAGGUAGGGAUACCCGCUGAACUUAAGC